ACAUGCAAGUCGAACGGGGUAGCAAUACCUAGUGGCAGACGGGUGAGUAACAUGUGGGUAUCUUCCCUUUGGUGAGGAAUAACACGAGGAAACUUGUGCUAAUACCUCAUAAGUCUUUACGGAGAAAGCUUUAUGCGCCAAUGGAUGAGCCCGCACUUGAUUAGUUAGUUGGUGGGGUAAAGGCCUACCAAGACAUUGAUCAAUAGCUGAUUUGAGAGGAUGAUCAGCCACAUUGGGACUGAGACACGGCCCAAACUCCUACGGGAGGCAGCAGUAGGGAAUCUUGCACAAUGGAGGAAACUCUGAUGCAGCGAUGCCGCGUGAGUGAAGAAGGCCCUUGGGUUGUAAAGCUCUUUCGUCGGGGAAGAAAAUGACUGUACCCGAAUAAGAAGGUCCGGCUAACUUCGUGCCAGCAGCCGCGGUAAUACGAAGGGACCUAGCGUAGUUCGGAAUUACUGGGCUUAAAGAGUUCGUAGGUGGUUAAAAAAGUUGGUGGUGAAAUCCCAGAGCUUAACUCUGGAACUGCCAUCAAAACUUUUUAGCUAGAGUUUGAUAGAGGAAAGCAGAAUUUCUAGUGUAGAGGUGAAAUUCGUAGAUAUUAGAAAGAAUACCGAUUGCGAAGGCAGCUUUCUGGAUCAAUACUGACACUGAG
rnacentral:rRNA from 1 species